rnacentral:rRNA from 1 species
ACUGCUCAGUAACACGUGGACAACCUGCCCUAAGGUCUGGAAUAACCCCGGGAAACUGGGGAUAAUACCGGAUAAGCCAUAGAUGCUGGAAUGCUCUGUGGUUAAAAGCCCCGGCGCCUUAGGAUGGAUCUGCGGCCUAUCAGGUAGUAGUGGGUGUAAUGUACCUACUAGCCUACGACGGGUACGGGUUGUGAGAGCAAGAGCCCGGAGAUGGAUUCUGAGACAUGAAUCCAGGCCCUACGGGGCGCAGCAGGCGCGAAAACUUUACAAUGCGGGAAACCGCGAUAAGGGGACACUGAGUGCCAGCACCAUGUGUUGGCUGUCCGCAUGUAUAAAUCACAUGUGUUAGCAAGGGCCGGGCAAGACCGGUGCCAGCCGCCGCGGUAACACCGGCGGCCCGAGUGGUGGCCAUUAUUAUUGGGUCUAAAGGGUCCGUAGCCGGUUUGAUCAGUCUUCCGGGAAAUCUGACAGCUCAACUGUUAGGCUUCUGGGGGAUACUGUCAGACUUGGAACCGGGAGAGGUAAGAGGUACUACAGGGGUAGGAGUGAAAUCUUGUAAUCCUUGUGGGACCACCAGUGGCGAAGGCGUCUUACCAGAACGGGUUCGACGGUGAGGGACGAAAGCUGGGGGCACGAACCGGAUUAGAUACCCGGGUAGUCCCAGCCGUAAACGAUGCUCGCUAGGUGUCUGGGAUGGUGCGACCGUUUCAGGUGCCGCAGGGAAGCCGUGAAGCGAGCCACCUGGGAAGUACGGCCGCAAGGCUGAAACUUAAAGGAAUUGGCGGGGGAGCA